rnacentral:tRNA from 1 species
GCGGGUGUGGCGGAAUUGGUAGACGCACCAGAUUUAGGUUCUGGCGCCGAAAGGCUUGGGGGUUCAAGUCCCUUCACCCGCACCA